GCCGGAAUAGUUCAGUGGCAGAACGGAUGCCUUGUAAGCAUCGCGUCAGAGGUUCGAUUCCUUUUCUCGGCA
rnacentral:tRNA from 1 species